rnacentral:sRNA from 1 species
UUCCGUUGCAAAAACGUGGUUUAAGGA